CCUACGGGAGGCAGCAGUGGGGGAUAUUGCACAAUGGGGGGAACCCUGAUGCAGCGACGCCGCGUGGGUGAAGGAGAGCCUCGGCGCGUAAAGCCCUAUCGGCAGGGAAGAAGAUGACGGUACCUGAAGAAGAAGCCCCGGCGAACUACGUGCCAGCAGCCGCGGUAAUACGCAGGGGGCAAGCGUUAUCCGGAGUUACGGGGUGUAAAGGGGGCGCAGACGGGGCUGCACGCCAGGAGGGAAAGCCCGGGGCCCAACCCCGGGACUGCUCUUGGAACGGCCUGGCUGGCGUACAGGAGGGGCAGGCGGAAUUCCUGGUGUAGCGGUGACAUGCUUCGAUCUUAGGAGGACCACCGGUGGCGACGGCGUCCUGCUGGACUGUGACUGACGUUGCGGCCCGAACGCGUGGGGAGCAAACAGGAUUAGAUACCCUAGUAGUC
rnacentral:rRNA from 1 species